UAGGGGGAGUGGGAUACGGGAAGUGCUUCUGGGAGGUGCAGAGCAGUUCCUUGCCCAGCAGCUGCUCACAGCCCUGCUCACACGUCCGUUCCCACUGGAACCCUCCCUUUGGGGCUGCAUCCCCACCACCCCACAGCUCCGUGUCGGACUUCUCCCCACAGCCAGAGGAGGGACUCUGUCCCGUGUGGAAUGGGCUCUGGAGGCUGCUGAAGCCCUUCUGCUUGCUGCUCAGGGACACCCUGGGAGGAUCAGACCCGCGAGGGCUGUGGGAGAGGCAGAAUUCCCUUCGGGAUACCCGGUCUGGGACGAGGCUCACGCUCCUGGUGCUCGAGGCCAGCCGGGUUUUGCCCCAGGGAGCACGGCCAGCACCGGGGGAGGAUGGAGCGCCUGGCCUCCUUCAGCAGUGACCCUUUUGAUAAGCCCCCGUGCCGUGGCUGCUCCUCGUACCUGACGGAGCCCUACGUGAAGUGUGCUGAGUGUGGGCCCCCUCCCUUCCUGCUGUGCCUGCAGUGUUUCACCCGAGGAUUUGAGUACAAGAAGCAUCAAAGUGAUCACACUUAUGAGAUAAUGACAUCUGACUUCCCUGUCCUGGAUCCCAACUGGACAGCUCAGGAGGAGAUGUCUCUCCUGGAAGCUGUGAUGGACUGUGGAUUUGGGAACUGGCAGGACGUGGCCAACCAGAUGUGCACCAAAUCCAAGGAGGAGUGUGAGAAGCACUACAUGAAACACUUCAUCAACAACCCCCUGUUUGCCUCCACCCUGCUGAACCUGAAGCAGGCAGAGGAGGCUCAGCACCAUGAGACAGCCAUUCCCUUCCACUCUGCUGAUGAUCCCCCACGGCCCACCUUUGACUCCUUGCUCUCCAGGGACAUGGCUGGGUACAUGCCAGCCAGAGCUGACUUUGUUGAGGAGUUUGACAACUAUGCUGAGUGGGAUUUGAGAGAUAUUGAUUUUGUAGAAGAUGAUUCAGACAUUUUGCAUGCUCUGAAGAUUGCAGUUGUAGAUAUCUAUCAUUCCAGGUUAAAGGAAAGACAGAGACGGAAAAAAAUUAUAAGAGAUCAUGGCCUGAUCAACCUCAGAAAAUUUCAGAUUCUGGAAAGGCGCUACCCCAAGGAGGUGCAGGAGCUCUACGAGACCAUGAGGAGGUUUGCCCGGAUCCUGGGGCCCGUGGAGCACGACAAGUUCAUCGAGAGCCACGCGCUGGAAUUUGAGCUGCGCAGGGAAAUAAAGAGACUCCAGGAGUACAGAGCAGCAGGAAUCACCAAUUUCUGCAGUGCCCGGACCUACGAGCACCUGAAGAAGAGCCGGGACGAGGAGCGGCUGAAGCGCACGAUGCUCUCGGAGGUGCUGCAGUACAUCCAGGACAGCAGCGCCUGCCAGCAGUGGCUCAGCCGCCAGGCAGACAUUGAUUCUGGCCUGACUCCCACAGUACCAGUUCCUUCAACUACAGGCAGGCGGAGUGCCCCACCACUGAACCUCACCGGCCUGCCAGGCACAGAGAAGCUCAACGAGAAGGAGAAGGAGCUCUGUCAGAUGGUGAGGCUGGUCCCUGGAGCCUAUUUGGAAUAUAAAGCUGCUUUAGUGAACGAGUGCAACAAACAGGGAGGCCUGAGACUGGCGCAGGCUCGAGCCCUCAUCAAGAUUGAUGUGAACAAAACCAGGAAAAUCUAUGACUUCCUGAUCAGAGAAGGGUACAUCACAAAGGCCUGAGCACAGGCAGCAGUGCUUGGCUGGAGCAGGCAGAUGUGGAGAAGCUUUGAAGUCGCUUUGACAGCGCUGAAAGAUUUCACCAGUGUUGAAUGAAGGACAUUUCCUUUUGUUUAAAACCUUUCGGGGCUCUUUUUUUUUUUCCUUUUUUUUUUUUUCUUUUUGUAAAAACAAGUAGGGAGCUUUGUUAAAUUGCAUGAAUGCUGACAUUUGUCUGGGUUCCUUCUGGCUCUGCUGUUGUCAGGAUUCCUCUGCCUCGCAGCACUGGGAAGGAUCACGUGCCAUGUAAGCUGAUCUUAAACGUGAAUGGGCAUUCAUUCCUCACACCUCCCGUGGCUGCAGAGAGGAUCACGGUACCUCUGUGCUGAUGGUGACAAAGAAUAAGGACACAGUCACACUUUUUGCAGUACAGGGUAUAGAAAUGCAGUCCCUCCCUCCUUGUGUUCCUUCCUAAAUCAGCAGCAGCUUUCAGAGGCGACAGCACGUGCCCGAGGGUGUAAAAAUAGAGCUUGCAGUGGUCCAGUCUUUUUAACUUAAUUGUGAUAAAGGAUGGGAAAGGACGUGGCAGGGAAGCUCCUCAACAGUUGUUACUUUUAUGUGGUAUUAGCACAUAUCCCAGCAGGAGGGCUCUGCACACACCAAGGAGCUUCAGCUGCUCCCCCCUCCAUGAUUUGGGGGUGUCAGGUUAAAUAUAAUCCCUCCAUUUCAGUCUGCUGCUCGUCGGGAAGGCUGGGAGCUACAGCCACUGCAGCUUUUGGGAACAGGGAUAAAAAGGUUCUCGGGACCCUGAUGUUCUCCCACAAAAAAGGAGUGAAGGGCACGAAGCUCCUGUUUGUGGGGUUUUAUUCCCUCAGCGUUGCCAGCGACGCGCCUGAGGAGGUGCCACAAGGCACUGCUCAAACACAGCCCCCAUCCCAUCAGCUGAUCCAGGAGCUUCAGCACCAAACGUUGGGAUUUGGCAGUCAGUUGGAUGAUGAAGAUGGUUCUCUGCAGGAAAGCUGGGAGCCAAAGCAGGUGAGGUGUUGGAUGCUCCCAAGUUUGGGAUCUCAUGGAAGAGCCUGAGCCACAGCUGCACCAGCACCUAUCUAAGGUGUUGAGCUUCACGUUGUUGUUUGUUCCCCAAGAGUAAUUAUCCUGUGGACAUGAGGCGCCAUUGAAUGUGAAGUAUUUUGGUUUGUAAUAAAAUCAAAAUGACUUGAAACAAUCUUA